rnacentral:lncRNA from 12 species
GAGUGUCUGCGGAGGAGGAUGCCACAUGGAACAUAUUCUUCGUGAGGCUGAUGAUUUCUUUCGUCUGGAAUACGGCCACCGUAGAAGUAAAGGAGAAAGACAUGACCUUUUAGAGGUGCUUGCGGGAAACAGCGAGGAGAGCACGUAGAAUGAGCAAACUCCAUGAGCAGCAGGGCACGAGCUGAGGUUCUUCACCAGAGGUCGACAUGGGGAGCCACUCGGACCUACGGAUCCGGAGGAACUUGGCGGAGGCUAACACGCGGCAAAAGAUCCUUCUUUCUUCCUUGAUAAGGAGUAAAAGGAACUGCUUGACUUCAAGUGAUUCAUGGGCUUUGGGAUGAGAAACAUCUAGGUUUGAAUCCGUGUUCCAGCCUUGUGCUGUGGGACCUUAGAUGCUUCUGUGCUUCUUCCAGAAAAUGAGAUUAGCAACGUCCCUCUUACUGUGGGGCUGGACGGUAAAGGCUUUUCGGUUCCAAAAGCCAAGACCCUUCCGCUAUGUGACACUCCUCCAAGGUCGUCCGCAGCUGACAGUGUCACUGAGGCAGGGAUGGGAUGCGGUGGGAAUAAAGGAACGAGGUGUUUUAUCCAAGGAUGUACCCAAAAGAGGUGGCAAGGAAGGAGGAGAAAGGCUUGUGAGAGUUUUACAGCCACCGGUUUGUGCUUGUUACAGAGUACGCAGGGGUAACGAAGCUCACAGACAAGCAUCCGUUGUAAAGAGGGAGAUGGCAUGUGAUUGUUCAGAUGCACAGGGACGGCCUCCUGCAACAGACCAAGACACAGGGAGGCCGCUCGCAGAGCUUGUGCCUGGGGACGGGGGACCUGAGCUGAACUCAGAAGGUACCUGGGAAGAUGGAGGACAGGAGAGAGGAGGCUCCUGAAUAUAAUAAGCAGUCAUACAAAAGCAAAGAGGAAGGAGAUAUUGCACUUGUUUUAGAUUCUGCUAAACAGUUCAUUAUGGCUACCAUAUAGAGUGUGAGAAAAAUUAAAAGGAGAAGGAGAUGAGGUUGGGGAUGGAGGCAGUGACUAGACCACGAGAACGCGUGUAAUGCUAACUGGCUUGGGGGGCACCCGGGUCGCUCAGGCAGUUAAGUAUCUGCCUUGGGCUCAGGCCUUGAUCUCAGGGUUCUGGAGUCGAGACCCACGUCAGUCUCCCUGCUCAGCAAGGAGUCUGCUCCCCGCCCCCCUCCCCCGCUGCCUGCUGCUCC